rnacentral:rRNA from 1 species
UACGGGGGGGGCAAGCGUUGUUCGGAAUUACUGGGCGUAAAGCGUGCGUAGACGGUUAUUUAAGUCGGAUGUGAAAGCCCCCGGCUCAACCGGGGAAUUGCAUCGAAUACUGCCCGGCUCGAGGACGGUUGGGGUGAGUGGAACUCCUGGUGGAGCGGUGAAAUGCGUAGAUAUCAGGGGGAACACCGGUGGCGAAGGCGGGUCUCUGGGCCGAUACUGACGCUGAGGAGCGAAAGCGUGGGGAUCAAACAGG